rnacentral:rRNA from 1 species
UACGAGAGCUCCAAGCGUUAUCCGGAAUUACUGGGCGUAAAGGGUGUGUAGGUGGUUGUGUUAGUCGUUUGUUAAAUCUCCAAGCUCAACUUGGAAACCGCGAGCGAAACGGCACGACUAGAGGGUGCGAGAGGUCUAUGGAACUCAUGGUGUAGGGGUGAAAUCCGUUGAUAUCAUGGGGAACACCGAAAGCGAAGGCAAUAGACUGGCGCAUACCUGACUCUGAAACACGAAAGCGUGGGUCGCGAAUGGG